CAGAGCCCAUGGUUCCGUUUCAAAUGGAAAGAACAAUGUAGUAUUUGUGUAGCCUGUAACACAAGAGAAUGGUGUAAGGCCUACAGUGUAACCAUUCGAGGAGAGAUUGGAACUUUAAUCUUUGGAAGGAAGGCAUGAGAGUGACCCAGUUGCUCCUUCAUCUGCUUCAGUAGGCCAUUUCUGAAGAAAUACCUGAUUACCCCCUGUGACGGUUGAAGCAUGCUGAGCAUGAAGAUUGAAGUAUAUUCCACUUCACUGCACCCUUGUUCGAUACAUCAACAGAAACUCUGUCAAUGAACGUCGAGUCUGUAUAUCACUGAUGUAAUAGGAUCCCAUCGCUGCAUGCAUAUUUGAAUAACCAAUCGAUCCAGAGUGCUUUCUGAAUAUGAAUCACAACUCACAUAUCUGCAAUUCAUGCACUUGACCUGGCUCAUGACUAAUACAGAGAUUCCAAUCCAUAUCAGGUUUGGUAAACUCCAGCAGAUGUGACUCAGGGAAGUACUACUCAAGAAGAUUUUGCUCCAAAGUAUUCAC
ensembl:lncRNA